rnacentral:rRNA from 1 species
GUGUCAGCCGCCGCGGUAAGACGUAGGGGGCGAGCGUUACCCGGAUUCACUGGGCGUAAAGGGCGUCUAGGCGGUUCGGCAAGUCGUCUGUGAAAGUCCCUGGCUUAACUGGGGGAGGCCGGGCGAUACUGCCGGGCUAGAGGGCGACAGAGGAAGGUGGAACGGCCAGAGUAGCGGUGAAAUGCGUAGAUACUGGCCGGUACCCCGAUGGCGAAGGCAACCUUCUGGGCCGUCCCUGACGCUGAAGCGCGAAAGCGUGGGGAGCGAACCGGAUUAGAUACCCGGGUAGUCCACGCCCUAAACGAUGUGGGCUAGGUGUUGGCCCAUCACUGGGUCGGUGCCGCAGCUAACGCGUUAAGCCCACCGCCUGGGGAGUACGGCCGCAAGGCUGAAACUUAAAGGAAUUGACGGGG